ensembl:snRNA U6 U6 spliceosomal RNA
GUGCUCGCUUCGACAGCACAUAUCCUAACCUUGGAAUGAUACAGAGAUUAGCGUGGCCCGUGUGCAAGGAGGACACGCAGAUUUGUGAAGGCGUCACGAGUGAU